UGAGUAACACGUAUCCAACCUGCCGUCUACUCUUGGCCAGCCUUCUGAAAGGAAGAUUAAUCCAGGAUGGCAUCAUGAGUUCACAUGUCCGCAUGAUUAAAGGUAUUUUCCGGUAGAUGAUGGGGAUGCGUUCCAUUAGAUAGUAGGCGGGGUAACGGCCCACCUAGUCAACGAUGGAUAGGGGUUCUGAGAGGAAGGUCCCCCACAUUGGAACUGAGACACGGUCCAA
rnacentral:rRNA from 1 species